GAUGAACGCUGGCGGCGUGCCUAAUACAUGCAAGUCGAGCGAAUGGAUUAAGAGCUUGCUCUUAUGAAGUUAGCGGCGGACGGGUGAGUAACACGUGGGUAACCUGCCCAUAAGACUGGGAUAACUCCGGGAAACCGGGGCUAAUACCGGAUAACAUUUUGAACCGCAUGGUUCGAAAUUGAAAGGCGGCUUCGGCUGUCACUUAUGGAUGGACCCGCGUCGCAUUAGCUAGUUGGUGAGGUAACGGCUCACCAAGGCAACGAUGCGUAGCCGAGCUGAGAUGGUGAUCGGCCACACGGGGACUGAGACACGGCCCAGACUCCUACGGGAGGCAGCAGUAGGGAAUCUUCCGCAAUGGACGAAAGUCUGACGGAGCAACGCCGCGUGAGUGAUGAAGGCUUUCGGGUCGUAAAACUCUGUUGUUAGGGAAGAACAAGUGCUAGUUGAAUAAGCUGGCACCUUGACGGUACCUAACCAGAAAGCCACGGCUAACUACGUGCCAGCCGCCGCGGUAA
rnacentral:rRNA from 1 species